AGUGCUUUCGUUUUGCUUACAAGUUUCAAAAUAGAGACGAAGUUUAAGAUUAUAGAGAAAACUGAACGAUCACUUUUUGGAAACGUACGUGGCUGCACGAAAAAUACCACAACAAAUAAAAUUACGAAAAUGUGGUCAUCUUGUCAAUUUUGGUGUCGCGCCUCUCCGUGCUCUCCACUUCAUGCUCUCCACUCCAUGCUGUUUGGCAGAUUUGAGGCCUGAUCCAGCCCAUCAUAACAACAUGAUAUGCAAGUUUUGCUUGUGCUGUUCAUCAGCAACAAUUUCACUGUCAUCGCUAAAAUUACAGUGUUUUUAUUCCUGCGACCUGCUAGAUAUUUUAACAGUGCAUGACUUCCACAAAUGCAGUGUAUUACAUUGAAAUCUUAAAUUCUCCUGUUUAUUAACAAUUACAUCUCAUUUUUAGCUUUUUCCUUUCCUUUUGUUUCUGUAAAUAUUUUUCGUUAACCCAUUUUUUAUUUUUUAUUUCGAUAAACAACAUCCUGUUAGAUAGGAGAACCUACUUAUGUCGAUCGAGUUCCGGAUCUCUUCUUCCCUUCUUUCUGUAAAUGUCCUCGUGUACACCCAUGUGAGUGUGGGUGUAUUCACGAGGACCCCCUCUUUCCUAUUCCUAUCCCGCCUGGUGUAACAUUCAUCUCUUCUGCGGAUGCAGCACUUAUGGAUGGAUGCCUGGCCGUAUUUCCCAGGCUCAAAGUUUGCAUUCAGGCUUCCGUCAGUUGGAUAUAUAUUGGAGCUCCCGUGUAGUGAGCGUCUAGUGUUCCGUUUUACCGGAUACCAGAGGAAAACAAAAAAACAACGGAAGGAGCACACCUCCAUCUACUAUAUAGCCGCCGCGUGUUUAUAUCAGACUUGACGCCUACCUUUAAUAGGGCGACUAUUGUGCCCUGUUUUAUUUAUGUGGGUUCUCACAUGACUGUCAUUGUCGUUCAAUUACAGGAUGUUGAAUAACGAGGCGGAUCAUUCGUCAUAACGACGGUUGGGCCGCCGUGUGUUUGUCGAUGGAUGCGCUCGCCACCUGAUCCACUUGGCUAUCGAUCCAACAAAUGGGUCGGUGCCAACGCCGCUUUCUAAUGACGCAUGAAGCAAUCCCUUAUAUACUAGUCUCCCGUAGUUUUCGGGAACCACACCUCACCUCCCUUCCGCUCCUUUCCCUUCAUCCGUGUGUGUCGCCGUCAAAAGUGCUGUGGAACUCGCAAACCAUCCGAAGCCGGAACAAUAAU